UUUUGUUAGGGAAGAAAAGGAUAGUGUUAAUCCCAUUAUUUGCUGACGGUACCUAAAGAAUAAGCACCGGCUAACUACGUGCCAGCAGCCGCGGUAAUACGUAGGGUGCGAGCGUUAAUCGGAAUUACUGGGCGUAAAGCGAGCGCAGACGGUUUAUUAAGCAAGAUGUGAAAUCCCCGAGGCUUAACUUGGGAGCUGCGUUUUGAACUGGUAAGCUAGAGUAUGUCAGAGGGGGGUAGAAUUCCACGUGUAGCAGUGAAAUGCGUAGAGAUGUGGAGGAAUACCGAUGGCGAAGGCAGCCCCCUGGGAUAAUACUGACGUUCAUGCUCGAAAGCGUGGGUAGCAAACAGGAUUAGAUACCCUGGUAGUCCACGCCCUAAACGAUGUCAAUUAGCUGUUGGGGCACUUGAUGCCUUAGUAGCGAAGCUAACGCGUGAAAUUGACCGCCUGGGGAGUACGGUCGCAAGAUUAAAACUCAAAGGAAUUGACGGGGACCCGCACAAGCGGUGGAUGAUGUGGAUUAAUUCGAUGCAACGCGAAGAACCUUACCUGGUCUUGACAUGUACGGAAUCUUCCAGAGACGGAAGAGUGCCUUCGGGAGCCGUAACACAGGUGCUGCAUGGCUGUCGUCAGCUCGUGUCGUGAGAUGUUGGGUUAAGUCCCGCAACGAGCGCAACCCUUGUCAUUAGUUGCCACCAUUUAGUUGGGCACUCUAAUGAGACUGCCGGUGACAAACCGGAGGAAGGUGGGGAUGACGUCAAGUCCUCAUGGCCCUUAUGACCAGGGCUUCACACGUCAUACAAUGGUCGGUACAGAGGGUAGCCAAGCCGCGAGGUGGAGCCAAUCUCAGAAAACCGAUCGUAGUCCGGAUUGCACUCUGCAACUCGAGUGCAUGAAGUCGGAAUCGCUAGUAAUCGCAGGUCAGCAUACUGCGGUGAAUACGUUCCCGGGUCUUGUACACACCGCCCGUCACACCAUGGGAGUGGGGGAUACCAGAAGUAGGUAGGCUAACCGCAAGGAGGCCGCUUACCACGGUAUGUUUCAUGACUGGGGUGAAGUCGUAACAAGGUAACC
rnacentral:rRNA from 1 species